CAUGUGCACGCCUUGUCAUCUUUAUAUCUCCACCUGUGCACCUUUUGUAGGCCCUGGAUAUCUUUCCAUGGUCUAUGUUGCUUCUUCAUAUACCCCAAUGUAUGUUAAUAGAAUGUUUGUGCCUAUAAAAUCUAUACAACUUUCAGCAACGGAUCUCUUGGCUCUCGCAUCGAUGAAGAACGCAGCGAAAUGCGAUAAGUAAUGUGAAUUGCAGAAUUCAGUGAAUCAUCGAAUCUUUGAACGCACCUUGCGCUCCUUGGUAUUCCGAGGAGCAUGCCUGUUUGAGUGUCAUUAAUAUAUAUCAACCACUUCUUGUUGAGUGGCUUGGAUGUGGGCGUUUUUUGCUGGCCUCUCGAAGGGUCAGCUCCCCUGAAAUGCAUUAGCAGAACCAACCUGUUCAUUGGUGUGAUAACUAUCUACGCUAUUGAAAGGUGAAGUCAGUUCAGCU
rnacentral:rRNA from 1 species